rnacentral:lncRNA from 1 species
CAUCCGAACAACCUCUUCUAUGAAGAUCUGUUGGCCAUUGGGGAUUCUAUUAUUCCUGCAAACUCAAUGUUGGGGAAACUGAUGAUCCUGGAUACAUUCAUAAGAAAAAUCAUGUCUGGGAGAACACUGAGCUCGCUCUUCAAGAACUUACCAUCCUUGAGAUUUCGGUUUACAUUCCUCUUUUAUAUUCAAAAAUAGAGGAAAAUA